rnacentral:rRNA from 1 species
GAUGAACGCUGGCGGCGUGCCUAAUACAUGCAAGUCGAGCGAACAGAUAAGGAGCUUGCUCCUUUGACGUUAGCGGCGGACGGGUGAGUAACACGUGGGUAACCUACCUAUAAGACUGGGAUAACUUCGGGAAACCGGAGCUAAUACCGGAUAAUAUUUCGAACCGCAUGGUUCGAUAGUGAAAGAUGGUUUUGCUAUCACUUAUAGAUGGACCCGCGCCGUAUUAGCUAGUUGGUAAGGUAACGGCUUACCAAGGCGACGAUACGUAGCCGACCUGAGAGGGUGAUCGGCCACACUGGAACUGAGACACGGUCCAGACUCCUACGGGAGGCAGCAGUAGGGAAUCUUCCGCAAUGGGCGAAAGUCUGACGGAGCAACGCCGCGUGAGUGAUGAAGGUCUUCGGAUCGUAAAACUCUGUUAUUAGGGAAGAACAUACGUGUAAGUAACUGUGCACGUCUUGACGGUACCUAAUCAGAAAGCCACGGCUAACUACGUG